UACGUAGGGGGCAAGCGUUGUCCGGAUUUAUUGGGCGUAAAGAGCGUGUAGGCGGCCAGACAGGUCCGUUGUGAAAACUCGAGGCUCAACCUCGAGACGCCGAUGGAAACCGUCUGGCUAGAGUCCGGAAGAGGAGAGUGGAAUUCCUGGUGUAGCGGUGAAAUGCGCAGAUAUCAGGAAGAACACCCGUGGCGAAGGCGGCUCUCUAGUACGGUACUGACGCUGAGGAGCGAAAGCCAGGGGAGCAAACGGG
rnacentral:rRNA from 1 species